AGCGAACGCUGGCGGCAGGCUUAACACAUGCAAGUCGAACGGGCGUAGCAAUACGUCAGUGGCAGACGGGUGAGUAACGCGUGGGAACGUACCUUUUGGUUCGGAACAACCCAGGGAACGUUGGGCUAAUACCGGAUAAGCCCUUACGGGGAAAGGAUUUAUCGCCGAAAGAUCGGCCCGCGUCUGAUUAGCUAGUUGGUGUGGUAACGGCGCACCAAGGCGACGAUCAGUAGCUGGUCUGAGAGGAUGAUCAGCCACAUUGGGACUGAGACACGGCCCAAACUCCUACGGGAGGCAGCAGUGGGGGAAUAUUGGACAAUGGGCGCAAGCCUGAUCCAGCCAUGCCGCGUGAGUGAUGAAGGCCCUAGGUUGU
rnacentral:rRNA from 1 species